AGGAAAUAAUGGUCGAUUGUGUGUGUAGGGAAGAUUAAGUCUAAGUUAUCAUAGCUAAAGUUGGUGUAAUAGUUAAGUAGUUAAAGUCCUAAGAUGAGAGGUUAGAGUCUAAACAAGUGUAGUGUGGCUUGUGUAAGAGAGUCUAAGACUAGAGGUAUGGCAUAGAAGGAGUGGUUAAGAGUAGAGUCCAUGUAGCAUAAGUGUAUGUGUUGUGUUGUAACAAAGAACAAUUGAUCAAUAUCAAAAAUGUAGUCUUUAUAUUUGUCUUUCUCUUGUGUUCAAACAAUCAAACAGCAACAAUGAAACAGAGUGAGAGAACUAAAGCAGAAAGAGAGCGUGAGAAAAGAUAAACAAAAGUAAAGAGAAAAAGAGAGAAAGAAACAAAUCUGAAUAAGAAAGAGUGAGGAAUGUCAACAUGGUAUCAGAGCUGUAGUUAUCCUUGGAGCCUGUUCAAGAAAGAAGAAAGGGUCCAUGGAGAAAUUGCUUCUCAGCCAUGAGGGAGAAGCUGUGAUGGAGAAAAAAGAGUACAUGAAGAUUACCUCUAAGAUGGAGGAAGAAGAAGACAGAGGAGAAGCUGAAGAAACUCCAAUGCCGAAGACCUUGCAGCAGCUGAAAUGGAGAGUCCAUGAAAGUGGUUGCUGCUGGAGAUGAAGAGAAGGAGCCUGCACAAAAAAAAAAGAUGUGUAAGGCAAAGAAAAAGAAAGAAAGAGAAGCUGGAAAACCAAAGUGGUGGUGAAAGGAAUCAAACAAACCAAAUCAGGAAAAGCUGAGGUUGAUGAUUCUAGAAACCAAACAAAGCCACUAAGAUUGAAGAUUCAAGGAGCCAAACCACUAAAGCUAAGAAAGCUAAGGUGAUGACUCAAAAAAAGAAGCCAAACAGACUACAGUAAGAGAGGCUGAGGUGAUGGUUCAAGAGUCAAAAAGGUCCAAAGCUAAAGCUGAAGGGGAUGGUUCUAAGAAUCAAAAAAAAAAAAAAAAAAUUGGUGUUCAAAGAGGACACCAAGCAAGAAGGAAAAGAAGUUUACCUAAGAGAAAGGAAGCUGAAAAAGCCCAGAAUGACGUGAAGAUGGCAACAUGACGGCAUCAACAAGCAGACCAAGGAAGCUGCCAGAGUUGCUGGAAAUUCUCAACCAUCAGAGAAAUGGAGGAGACAAACCAGCAUCAAAAUCAAGCAAACCUGCAAAUGAAAGGUUUGAGAAGAAGGAUUUCAUUUCAAAGGUAUGAAGCUGAUCAAAUGUAAAGUAUUUUUGAUGAGAAGCAGAGUAUGUGCUAGAAGUUCAGAGAAUCAAAAAGUCCAAGGUUAAAGAAAGUCAAGGUGAUGGUCAAGAGAACCAAACAGACUAUGGCUAAGAAAACUGAGGUGAUGAUUCAAAGAUCUGAAAGAUACAACUUGGUGAUCAAAGAAGAAACUUACAGAAGAAGAAAGCUUGCUUACCUAAGAGUGAAAGGGAGCAGAAGAAUAGAAGAUGGCUGGAGAACUAAGCCGACGAAGACGUGACGGAAGUUCACGGUGGUAGUGACGUGAAGAAGAUUCACAGACAAGACUUGGAGGAGACAUGGAGAAGGCUUACGGGAAAAGAGAAGAACCCAAGAGUCGUGUUUCCUGCAAGAGAAGAAAAGUUGGUCAAGAAAUUGGUCAAUAACACAAUGGAGAGAUCGCAAAGAAAAUCAGCCAAAAGAUGGCAAAGAUAUUUGCAGAGAAAAAUGAAGAUGGAUCCAGAGAGAUUCAAGGAGAAGAGGGAGUAAAGCAAGCGUAAAAUUGGAGAAGGCAGUGGCUCGACUCCCCAGAAGCAACAAACCUGUUCAGGUUCGUCGAAGAGGGAGACAAUGGAAGAUGUCUCAGAUGAAGUACCAGCGGAAAGAGUGAUGUCGUCGGAGAAGAAUAAUAAGAAACUAGUUGCAAACGCAGCUUGAUCAGAAGUGAGGAAAGCUCACAAAGCAAACGAAGAUUGCGAAUAAAUCCUGUCAAGAGAGGGCUAAUAAAUUCGUAUAAAAAGAAAUUAGAUCUUGGAGAUCCAUUCAAGAGGGAGAUACGAAGCUCAAAAGGGAAGAAGAAGCAAAAUGGAGGAAAACACAAAGCAAGAGAAAGAUCGAGUAAUAAGCUUACCAGAAGCUAUACAAAUGUCUUGAAGAGCAGAGGAAUGAGCAACGAAGAACCAUGGGAGUCAAAUCCCUAGAUUUGAAUUGGGGAUUUAAUCAAAGGACUCAAGAGGGAGUGUUGAAGGUUGAGUCCUUGAUUAAAUCUAACAAACAAGAAAGUAGCUUUAAUUAGAAGAAGAAAGGAAGAAGAUGAAGUCUCUGUCGUGGAAGAAGGAAUCAGAGAAGAAGAAGAGAGUCAACCAAGAAAUAAAAAGUCAACAUUGGAGAAAAGAAAUGGGCUUCUUGUUUUAGACUAAUGGGCCAGCAAAGCAUCAUCAGCCCAAGGAAAUAAUGGUCGAUUGUGUGUGUAGGGAAGAUUAAGUCUAAGUUAUCAUAGCUAAAAUUGGUGUAAUAGUUAAGUAGUUAAAGUCCUAAGAUGAGAGGUUAGAGUCUAAACAAGUGUAGUGUGGCUUGUGUAAGAGAGUCUAAGACUAGAGGUAUGGCAUAGAAGGAGUGGUUAAGAGUAGAGUCCAAGUAGUAUAAGUGUAUGUGUUGUGUUGUAACAAAGAACAAUUGAUCAAUAUCAAAAAUGUAGUCUUUUAUGUUUGUUCUUUCUCUUGUGUUCAAACAAUCAAACAGCAACAAUGAAACAGAGUGAGAGAACUAAAGCAGAAAGAGAGCGUGAGAAAAGAUAAACAAAAGUAAAGAGAAAAAGAGAGAAAGAAACAAAUCUGAAUAAGAAAGAGUGAGGAAUGUCAACA
rnacentral:lncRNA from 1 species